GCACGACCAAUCCCAGUUGUUGCGGUCUGCGUUGCAGCGACGUGUAGUUACAUUUUUGGAGAGGUGUAAGUCAUGCUACGGU